CUACGGGCGCAGCAGUGAGGAAUAUUGCGCAAUGGGGGAAACCCUGACGCAGCGACGCCGCGUGAGUGAUGAAGGCCCUUGGGUUGUAAAGCUCUGUUCUUGGGGAAUAAAAAAAUGAAGGUACCCAAGAAGAAAGGACCGGCUAACUUCGUGCCAGCAGCCGCGGUAAGACGAGGGGUCCAAGCGUUGUUCGGAAUCAUUGGGCGUAAAGCGGGUGUAGGUGGACCUGUAAGUCAGAAGUGAAAGCCCCGGGCUCAACCCGGGAAGUGCUUUUGAUACUGCAGGUCUUGAGUGUGGGAGAGGAUAGUAGAAUUCCAGGUGUAGUGGUGAAAUACGUAGAUAUCUGGAGGAAUACCGGUGAGGAAGCUGGCUAUCUGGCCCAACACUGACACUCAGACCCGAAAGCGUGGGGAGCAAACAGGAUUAGAUACCCCCGUAGUC
rnacentral:rRNA from 1 species